rnacentral:lncRNA from 1 species
UUUUUGCGAUUGAGUAAAUCCUCAGAAAGUUACUUUAAUUUCUUUCGUUUUCUUUAACUUUUAUACUCCUUAUUAUGUACAGGUUUUUUAAAAAUAUAGGUGGAUUGCUGUCACAAAGUUAAGUAGUUUGUAGAACUUUUUGCAGUAUCAUUCAUCCGGUCUCCCGUCAUUAAAAUUGCAGAGUAAUUGCCAUGAAUUUUUGCUAAUUUUUUACUAGAUUCUUAACCAGAAAAGUCAUAUUUUUUAACACAAAUGGAAAGAUCUCUUCUCACAGAUGAUUGUCCCUAUAAUAUAUUUGUGUCAUUUUAAUGUAAUGUAUUAUUUAAAAAAAUCCUCAUUCAACGUUCUAAAUGUGGUAAUUAACAUUUGUUAAAAUGUCUUUAACUUAUCAAGAAACACAGUAAACUGCAAGUAACUAUCUUCUUCUUAUCUUUCUAUCGUCCUUUUAUGGACAUAGCCCUCUCUCAACUCUUUCCAUUGAUCUCUAUCCUGAGCAACAUACUACCAAUUUAUUCCGGCUAUUAGUUUUAUCUCAUCUACCCAUCUUGUCUGUGGUCUUCAUCUUGUUCGUCUACCUUCGUAAGGUCUCAAAUAUUGUAUUGUAGCAUUCCAAGGUUGGCCUUUUUGUCUAGCAGUGUGGCCUGCAAAGUUCCAUGUGAGUUGGGCAAUUUUUGUUGUAUUAUCCUCGACUUUUGUUUUUGGUCUUACCCAGUCUUACCCUAUACCUAGCAUUGCUCUUGACAUGGCUCUUUCCGUUGUGGCUAGUUUAUUGUUUAUUUAUAUUGGCCUCGAUUUUGAUUAGGGUCCAUGUUUGACAUCCAUAUGUCAUGAUGGGAAGGAUGCACUGUUUGGACGCUCUGCGUCAAGUAUUGAGGUAUUUUGCUAUUCUUAAGUAUCCAACUAAGAACUAAGUUUACCAAAUCCUGUCUAUGCCAGUCUUAUUUCUGCACUUCGGUUUUCUUUGUCAAAGUCAUGUGUCGGUGACACAUAGCUAAAACUAUCUUGGAAAAAAUCCCUGUUAUUAUCACAUUAACGGUUACUAAGAAAAACAAAAUUAAACCAAGCGACAUUAAUCCACUUACCAUUAAGUGACCAUUAAGCAACCAAGAAACGAAAAACUUUGAAGCCAUUUAUCUCAAAACUAUGUUUUGGCGCUUGGUCGAGUUAUGCAUAGCGCUGUCCAUAUGAGCCGUUGAAAACCAGAGUGGUCUAAGUAAAGAAUUUCAUUUUACGUUACAUCAUGAAUUUUAUUUAGUUUAACAAUGUUCUAUUUUGUUAAAAAUUUUAGAAACAUAUUAGUGCAUCCACCUCAGAGGUGUAACCAGACCAGGAUGAUCCUAAAGAGGGGGUUACAUCUACUUGAAGGUCUCUGGGGGUAUGGAAUAAUAAUGGUGUUAAGUGUACAGAGCUCAAAGUACAUCCAAAAGGGGGGGGUAUAACCCCCAAAACCACCCCCUGGUUACGCCUAUGAUCCACCCACUCACAGACGAAGCUAUUGUAAUAUAUGUCAACUAUAUAUAAUAGUAUAUUAGGUAUAGAAAAAUGAUAAUAUAUCAGUAGAGCGUGUAAAAUAAAAUUCUUGACUUAGACCACUCUGGUUUUCAGCGGCUCAUAUAUUCAUGGACUUGUUUCAUCUCAUUGCUGUAUACAUCUGGGGUCAUCUGUGUUUGUCAUUGUUUUUGUUUUUGUCAUAUUCAUUUUUAGGCAGACAUAUUAGAAUAGUAUAUUUGUACUAAGCAUAUAUUUUUUUAUCUUCUGAAUAUUCAUGUUCAACAUUUGAACUAUCUUCAUUGUCAUCAAUAUUUUCAUCUGAUAACUGAUUUGCUUUUGUGAUUGGAAUCAAUAUUCUGGAAAUAGUAUCUAUACGCUGUGAGCUCAUACGUAGAGGGGGUAUUUAAAAGUUCGUGAGCACCAGUAGUGACAAGUCAGUGAACUUUGUCUGGAAAUUUGACAUAAAUGUCAAAGUGAUUAAUUUAAAACAUUGAAAUUAAAAACAUUAAUAGGAAAAAUAUUAGUUGGUCAAAGCUGUGGUAUAUAUUUUUACCUUAAACAUACUUACGUUUUAUAUACUGAAUUUAAGUUUUUUUAAUAUUUCGUAAUGUGUAAUUAUAAAUUAAUCUAUUGUCUAUGACACCAGCGAAGCUCAGAGCGUAUACCACUAGCAUCCCUAACAAUCUCAUACCACAGACUUUUUUUUCAAAAUAUUUGGUCAAAACAGUUAUUCUUUUUUAAUUAGCCAUAGCUCACAAUAUGGACUUAGUCACACUAACAGACAGGUGUUGUAUCAUAAACUAUCAUUAGUUUAUUAUAUCCUAUUGUUCAGGCACAAGUUUUCGAAAUGUUUAGAAAUUCAAUAGGGCUUUUAAUCGAUUGUCAUUUGUUUCGAGCUCCUGUCAUGUGUCACAUAAUAUUAAAUAUACAGGGUGAGUCAUGAGGAACUGUACAUACUCCUACCUCGUAUAGAGGCCCCUAUGGGGAAUAACAAGUGACCAUUAAAAAGUGUCUGCUCCCAUUGUUUAAUAAUAUACAGGGCGAGUUUCGCAUUUUGACAGAAAUUUCUAUUCGUCAUAAUUUUUGAACGGUCAGAUCGAUGUGUCUCUUAUUUUGGUCAAUCGUUACACUAUUAGCACCUAAUCAACUGAUUUAUUCAAACUAGCAAAAAUCAGGUCCGGGUUUAAAAAAAUUAGCUCGUUUGGGUCUUAGAAAAAAUUUCACCCUGUAUACGCUUUUUGAAAACUCUAAUAUGAAUUUUACAAAUUAGACAAAUAGGCAAUUAAAAUGGCAUAUUCAUUUUUUUCCGCACACGAUUACUUAAUUUUUUAUAAAAAAAUCAAAUUUGACUAUGGAUUAAAAGUUUGGUAAAGUGAACCAUGGAUUUAACAAAAUUAACUUUUAUUACCAAAAUUAAUUUUUUUUUAACAAAUAUUUAAUUUAUGUUACCAUCCAAUCAACUGAUUUAUUCAAACUAAAAAAAAAUCAGGCCCGGAUUUAAAAAAUAAUUUCGUUUUGAUCUUAGAAAAAAUUUCACCCUGUAUUGGGAUAAACCGUAAUCGGACCCCUUCCUAACUGCCAAAGUGUCAUGGCCGCCGUCGGGACCUAUUGUGCUGACAUUUACAAUGUUUACAUAUAGAAAAGUUUGUUUUUUUCUGCUUAUAAUGCCGUUUUCUAAAGAUAUUAGUGAACAAAAUCGAUUUGCUAACAAUAUUUAAUAUAUUUUAAAUGUGCUAAAAUUGGAUUCAACAGCAAAAGUCGCAUAAAUAACAUAUAAAUAACGAAUUUGUUCACCUAUUACAAAUGGGGUUAUGUGGUUGUAACUGUUUAUUUUGGGAAUAAAAUGAAAAUGAUCAAUUAAACGACUGGAAAACUAUAGUGAAGUGAAGAACAUCUUGAAGUUCCAAUGAUGUUUCAAGAUGAGGUAAAUCGAAAUAAUUGUAUGUUAGAAGGACAGAGAAUAUGAAGAAAUGUUAUUGCUGCAUAUUUAGUGUAGUGAAAUACAAACUUCAAACAUUAUAAUAUAUUUUUUGAUUUCAAACAUUUCAUAUGAUUAUGAAAGAACAUCUUUCUUUUUAAAACAAUGAAGAAGUGAAGAACAUAAUAAAGUUCCAACGAAAAUGAUUCCAGAUGAGGAAAAUCGAAAUAAUGGUUGUAUGUUACAUGUAUAGAGAAUACGAAGAAAUGUUAUUGCUGCAAACUUAGUGUAGUGAAUUAAAAACUUAUUGUCAAAUACAAAUCAAUUUAUUUCAUACUUUUAUAAUAUAUAGUGAUAUAAUUUUAUAUGUGUUCAAAUAAAAAUAUUAAUAAAUAAAAUACAAUAAACACAAA